rnacentral:rRNA from 1 species
GACGAACGCUGGCGGCGUGCCUAAUACAUGCAAGUAGGACGCAGUUGCGAACGUGUGAGUCACGCGUAGGUAACUACCUCUUCGAGGGGGAUAACUAUUGGAAACGAUAGCUAAUACCGCAUACUAGUAGAUUGACCUUCGUUUUAUUAGAUAGUAUGUAGGGUAAUGGCAUACCUAGGCAACGAUACAUAGCCGACCUGAGAGGGUGGUCGGCCAAACUUGGACUGAGAAACGGCCCAGAUGUCGACGGGAGGCAGCAGUAGGGAAUCUUCGGCAAUGGGAGGAACCCUGACCGAGCAACGCAGCGUGAGUGAAGAAGGUUUUCGGAUCGUAAAGCUCUGUUGUUAAGGAAGCGGUACUUAACCAGAAAGGGACGGCUAACUACGUGCCAGCAGCCGCGGUAAUAC